UCAUCAGUCGUUGCUGCCAGGGUU
rnacentral:piRNA from 1 species